CAGCCGCCGCGGUAAUACGUAGGUGGCAAGCGUUGUCCGGAAUUAUUGGGCGUAAAGCGAGCGCAGGCGGUUAGAUAAGUCUGAAGUUAAAGGCUGUGGCUUAACCAUAGUACGCUUUGGAAACUGUUUAACUUGAGUGCAAGAGGGGAGAGUGGAAUUCCAUGUGUAGCGGUGAAAUGCGUAGAUAUAUGGAGGAACACCGGUGGCGAAAGCGGCUCUCUGGCUUGUAACUGACGCUGAGGCUCGAAAGCGUGGGGAGCAAACAGGAUUAGAUACCCCGGUAGUCCCUGUCUCUUAUACA
rnacentral:rRNA from 1 species